GAUCAGCGGCGGAUGUCUGAAAUUACAGGGCAUCUAAUAAAAAUGAGACUGGGUGAUCUGGACCGAGUCAAGGCAAAGGAAUCAAAAGAAUUUGCAGGAGGCAUUUAUUCUAGGCUUGAAGCCCAAGUCAAAGCCUCAGUGCCUGUCACUGCCCGGCAAAACAGCUCAGACAAAAACCAGAGGUAAAUCAGCAGGAAGCAAGCAGGAUGCUCUAGCUUUGCAGAGUAAAUCAUGUGAAUACUAAAA
rnacentral:lncRNA from 1 species